AGUGAACGCUGGCGGUAGGCCUAACACAUGCAAGUCGAACGGCAGCACAGUAAGAGCUUGCUCUUACGGGUGGCGAGUGGCGGACGGGUGAGGAAUACAUCGGAAUCUACUUUUUCGGGGGGGAUAACGUAGGGAAACUUGCGCUAAUACCGCAUACGACCUACGGUUGAAAGCAGGGGAUCUUCGGACCUUGCGCGAUUGAAUGAGCCGAUGUCGGAUUAGCUAGUUGGCGGGGUAAAGGCCCACCAAGGCGACGAUCCGUAGCUGGUCUGAGAGGAUGAUCAGCCACACUGGAACUGAGACACGGUCCAGACUCCUACGGGAGGCAGCAGUGGGGAAUAUUGGACAAUGGGCGCAAGCCUGAUCCAGCCAUACCGCGUGGGUGAAGAAGGCCUUCGGGUUGUAAAGCCCUUUUGUUGGGAAAGAAAAGCAGCAGGUUAAUACCCCGCUGUUCUGACGGUACCCAAAGAAUAAGCACCGGCUAACUUCGUG
rnacentral:rRNA from 1 species